UACGGAGGGGGCCAGCGUUGUUCGGAAUCAUUGGGCGUAAAGGGCGCGUAGGCGGCCACGCAAGUCGGAUGUGAAAUCCCUCGGCUCAACCGAGGAACUGCAUCCGAAACUGCGAGGCUCGAGUCCUGGAGAGGGUAGUGGAAUUCCCAGUGUAGCGGUGAAAUGCGUAGAUACUGGGAGGAACACCGGUGGCGAAGGCGGCUACCUGGACAGGUACUGACGCUGAGACGCGAAAGCGUGGGGAGCAAACAGG
rnacentral:rRNA from 1 species